ACAUCUUAUUUUGAAAAUAGACUAGAAGAUAUUGAUAAUAAUAUUGGAUUUAUGCAAUAUAGCAGUGCAGCAGUUCACCCAAGGCUUGCUGGGACAGGAAUUUACAUUCAUAGCACUUAUGAAAAGUAUCAACAUCUUAUUUUGAAAAUAGACUAGAAGAUAUUGAUAAUAAUAUUGGAUUUAUGCAAUAUUGCAGUAUAGCAGAUCUUUCAAGGCUCGCUGAAACAUGAAUUAACAUUUUUACCACUUUGAAAAGUUUCAACAUCCUACAUUUAUAAUGGACUAGAAGAUUCCGAUAAAUUUAAUAAUUUUAUGCAAUUCACUUUUAU